AGUCUGAAUCCUAACAAGAGCCGACUUUUGGAGGUUGAACUUUCUAAAUGCAGGAGUGUAAAAAUUCUUUGUCUGACGGAAACAUGGUCAAAUUCGGCCUCGAUAAACAGUAAUAGUAUCGAUGAAUUUAAAUUGAUCGCAAUGAAGUUCAAUUAGAAAGAGAGGUUAAUAUUUUAAUGACGAAUCUCCAAUCCUGGUUUUCCACCAACAACAUUUAUAUAAACUCUGAAAAAACACAAGUUAUAAGAUUUCGUAAUCGCCAAAACACCUGUCUUAUGGUAGAUACAAACCUCAACUUUAAGUCACAUGCCAAAAUACUGGUUCCAAAAUUAAACUCACU